rnacentral:rRNA from 1 species
AUUGAACGCUGGCGACAUGCCUUACACAUGCAAGUCGAACGGCAGCACGGGUGCUUGCACCUGGUGGCGAGUGGCGAACGGGUGAGUAAUACAUCGGAACAUGUCCUGUAGUGGGGGAUAGCCCGGCGAAAGCCGGAUUAAUACCGCAUACGAUCUACGGAUGAAAGCGGGGGACCUUCGGGCCUCGCGCUAUAGGGUUGGCCGAUGGCUGAUUAGCUAGUUGGUGGGGUAAAGGCCUACCAAGGCGACGAUCAGUAGCUGGUCUGAGAGGACGACCAGUCACACUGGGACUGAGACACGGCCCAGACUCCUACGGGAGGCAGCAGUGGGGAAUUUUGGACAAUGGGCGAAGGCCUGAUCCAGCAAUGCCGCGUGUGUGAAGAAGGCCUUCGGGUUGUAAAGCACUUUUGUCCGGAAAGAAAUCCUUGGCCCUAAUACGGUCGGGGGAUGACGGUACCGGAAGAAUAAGCACCGGCUAACUACGUG